UACGUAGGGUGCGAGCGUUGUCCGGAAUUACUGGGCGUAAAGAGCUCGUAGGUGGUUUGUCGCGUUGUUCGUGAAAACUCACAACUCAAUUGUGGGCGUGCGGGCGAUACGGGCAGACUGGAGUACUGCAGGGGAGACUGGAAUUCCUGGUGUAGCGGUGGAAUGCGCAAAUAUCAGGAAGAACACCCGUGGCGAAGGCGGUUCUCUGGGACGGUACUGACGCUGAGACGCGAAAGCGUGGGGAGCGAACAGG
rnacentral:rRNA from 1 species